rnacentral:rRNA from 1 species
GAUGAACGCUGGCGGCGUGCCUAAUACAUGCAAGUCGAGCGAACAGACGAGGAGCUUGCUCCUCUGACGUUAGCGGCGGACGGGUGAGUAACACGUGGAUAACCUACCUAUAAGACUGGGAUAACUUCGGGAAACCGGAGCUAAUACCGGAUAAUAUAUUGAACCGCAUGGUUCAAUAGUGAAAGACGGUUUUGCUGUCACUUAUAGAUGGAUCCGCGCCGCAUUAGCUAGUUGGUAAGGUAACGGCUUACCAAGGCGACGAUGCGUAGCCGACCUGAGAGGGUGAUCGGCCACACUGGAACUGAGACAGGGUCCAGACUCCUACGGGAGGCAGCAGUGGGAAUCUUCCGCAAUGGGCGAAAGCCUGACGGAGCAACGCCGCGUGAGUGAUGAAGGUCUUCGGAUCGUAAAACUCUGUUAUUAGGGAAGAACAAAUGUGUAAGUAACUAUGCACGUCUUGACGGUACCUAAUCAGAAAGCCACGGCUAACUACGUG